rnacentral:tRNA from 1 species
GUGGGAGUGGCGGAAUUGGCAGACGCACGGGACUUAAAAUCCUGCGGCCUUCACCGGCCGUGCGGGUUCGACCCCCGCCUCCCGCACCA